GGUACCUGCAAUGCAGCAUGCAUGGUAGGGAGGAUUGAAUUCAGCUCUCGGCCGGAGGAGUCUGCAUGGUUGAGUUGAGAUAUCACGGAACUGGAGGUUAUGAGGCACAGCGGCGGCGCCACUUAUGCCACGCGGUUGCAAAUGCGCGCGCAUGAGCAUGUAUCGGCCUUCGGCGCGGAAAGUUUGACGCAGGUGAAGUGAAAGGAUACCAUCUGCGGACAGAGAACGCCGAGAGAAGCAGAUUUGGGCUAUUCGACAUGUAGAGAAUGACAGCGCGAGAAGCGAUAAAUUGUGGAAUCCAAAAGAACACAGUCGACUUUGUAGUCAGCAUUUCAUCAAAGGUAGGCCUAUUUACAUACUAUAUAAGGUUAAAAGCAUAAGUUACCUUGCUACUUAUAUUUGCGGAAAGAGUCUGAAACAAAUAUUUACGCAUGCUACUACUGCAAAGGCUGCACUAGGUCUGGUAGCAUCUCUCUCUCUCUUUCUCACACAGACAUGUACACAUGCAUAUAUAAUGUAUAAUAAAUAUUAUUCGUUGCGCUUUGUUGGUUUUUUGAUUUUUUUCAAUGUUGUUUUGUUAAACGGUUGUCCAGCGGACAAAGUCACAAUAUUUUACAUUACAAAGCCCCAAG